GCGUUGAGAGGAGCUACGUUGCCGUGCGAUGAAGCCGUCAGUAGACUUUCUACUAAGCUGAGUUUCCCGAAAGAAAUCGAGCGCGAAGAAGAGUAGACAUGUCUGCUCCAUCUGAUGGGACAACUGCGUGGGGCAGCUGCGGCCGGCACCGAAACUUUCGCGAAUACCGGACGAUGGAAACUGGAAAGCUUCUCUUCCUGGUCGACAUGCUGUCGCGGGCCUCAAUCAACGGCGAGAGCGUAUAGACAUUGACACCGACACUGAGGAUGCGGAAGUACACGCCGGCCCAAGAACCAAAACGCCACUGCUUCCUUUCCUGGAUCAGCGAAUCACUCCUUCGCGUAGCACCGAGGCCCAUCGUUGUGUACGGCGACAAACCAACGAAUGUUGUUGAAGCGAUUGACCACUUGGAAUGUUUUCUGAAUGAUAAAAUAAUGACCGACUUCUGUGCAGCACGCCUCGUUCGUCGGUGCUUCUCUACUUGGCAGAGGUGCUCCAAGUUUGCUCGAUCAACUAAUUACUCAGCGUGACAAAGGCAGUAAACUCCCGCCAUAGCAAAAUCGCUUUAUUCGAAAUAUCGCUUUUUCGAAGUAUUUCAUGGUCCCGACCACAGUGCAUGCAUUUUAUACCAAGUACAGUGGCGCCGGGCUACGCUUAGUCGGGACCGCUUGGUGAAGUGCACACGCGAUGAACAUUUGCGUUUAUCCGAACCAACCUGCGAAGGCAAAGAGCGCAGUGUUGCCGAUCGUAUUCCAAAUCAUGUAGUAACUCCACAUUUGCUGUCGUGU
rnacentral:lncRNA from 1 species